ACGCUACCAUGGUUACUAGUGAGGUUUAUCUUUGUUAAGGUUUUAGCAAAUAUUAGAUGAUUAACUUAACCUCACUCCAUUACACUACCAUGGUUACUAGUGAGGUUUAUCUUUGUUAAGGUUUUAGCAAAUAUUAGAUGAUUAACUUAACCUCACUCCAUUACGCUACCAUGGUUACUAGUGAGGUUUAUCUUUGUUAAGGUUUUAGCAAAUAUUAGAUGAUUAA